AGAGUUUGAUCAUGGCUCAGAACGUACGCUGGCGGCACGCCUAACACAUGCAAGUCGAACGAAGUAGCAAUACUUAGUGGCAGACGGGUGAGUGACAUGUAGGUAUCUGCCCUUUGGCCUGGAAUAACACGAGGAAACUUGUGCUAAUACCGGAUAAGUCUUUACGGAGAAAGCUUUAUGCACCAUUGGAUGAGCCUGCACUUGAUUAGUUUGUUGGUGGGGUAAUGGCCUACCAAGACUGUGAUCAAUAGCUGAUUUGAGAGGAUGAUCAGCCACAUUGGGACUGAGACACGGCCCAAACUCCUACGGGAGGCAGCAGUGGGGAAUCUUGCACAAUGGAGGAAACUCUGAUGCAGCGAUGCCGCGUGAGUGAAGAAGGCCUUUGGGUUGUAAAGCUCUUUCGUCGGGGAAGAAAAUGACUGUACCCGAAUAAGAAGGUCCGGCUAACUUCGUGCCAGCAGCCGCGGUAAUACGAAGGGACCUAGCGUAGUUCGGAAUUACUGGGCUUAAAGAGUUCGUAGGUGGUUGAAAAAGUUGGUGGUGAAAUCCCAGAGCUUAACUCUGGAACUGCCAUCAAAACUUUUCAGCUAGAGUAUGAUAGAGGAAAGCAGAAUUUCUAGUGUAGAGGUGAA
rnacentral:rRNA from 1 species